UCUACCAGACAUUAAUAAGGUUGUAUCUACCAGACAUUGAUAAGGUUGUAUCUACCAGACAUUGAUAAGGUUGUAUCUACCAGACAUUGAUAAGGUUGUAUCUACCAGACAUUGAUAAGGUUGUAUCUAACUGUAACUAUGGUAGUUUAUAAGUGUUACCAGACAUUGACAAGGUUGUAUCUACCAGACAUUGAUAAGGUUGUAUCUACCAGACAUUGAUAAGGUUGUAUCUACCAGACAUUGAUAAGAUUAAUCUAACUGUAACUAUGGUAGUUUAUAAGUGUUACCAGACAUUGACAAGGUUGUAUCUACCAGACAUUGAUAAGGUUGUAUCUACCAGACAUUGAUAAGGUUGUAUCUACCAGACAUUGAUAAGAUUGUAUCUAACUUUAACUAUGGUAGUUUAUAAACGUUACCAGACAUUGAUAAGGUUGUAUCUACCAGACAUUGAUAAAGUUGUAUCUACCAGACAUUGAUAAGGUUGUACCUAACUUUAGCUCUAGUAGCUAAUAAGCGUAUUUUCUCAAUAUUUCCAGUAUUUCUUUGAUCAGUGAAUACUACUGACUGCAGUGAUAAUGGUUUGGAAACAUAUAUAUGCCAUGUACAAGAUAAAUUUUGUGUGAUUAUAACAACUUUGUUAAAAUAAAAGCAAUGUAAAACCGAUAUGUAGAAAAAGACAAUUCAUUUAAUUUCGCGCCAACUGAAUGUAAUAUACAUUCCAGUUUACAACGUAAAACAUAAUUUCACAAAACAUUAUUUACAUGAAGGCGUUAUAUGUGCGUGUAUAUCAUUAUAGUCGUAUGGAUUUGUCAGGUAAUUAAAUUUAUAUAUGUAUGAAUGUGGAUCGGUUGUCUCGUUACCGUCAGGUACAGACAGGUGAACGCAUGAGUAACGAGGUGGGCAAUCCAGGUAAAUGCUUUAUACAGGUUCAAACUUAUAUAUCUGCACUUAUGAACUUUAUAAGAAUUGAGAUAUAUCAUUACUGCGUCAUAUUAAAAAUAGAAAUAUCCCUUUGUUACACACCUGGUAAACUUAUCACAUUUCUUUGGCAGAUAGAAAGCUUGAAGAUUUGUAAUAUAAGAAAUGAUCUGUAACUUAAACGAUACAGAUCAAUAAUUACGUCUACAAUAUUAAAUAUCUGUGGUAGAUAUAAAGCUUGACGAUUUGUAACAUAAGAAACGAUCUGUAAUUUAAACGAUACAGAUCAAUAAUUACGUCUACAGUAUUCAAUAUCUGUGGUAGAUAUAAAGCUUGAAAAUUUGUAACAUAGUAAUGAUCUGUAACUUAAACGAUACAAAUUAAUGUUUACGUCUACGAUGUUAAAUAUAUCUCUGUAAAUUAUACUUGGAAACAAAGCACAAAAACUGAAAUCGUAAUAUUGUGCUGUAUGAGAACUACAUACCGAGAAUGUUUGUCAUCAAAUUAUGUAGUUAUUAGCAGACUCUUAGUAGUGUUACAUAGAGUUUUAAUUAUCUAAUUAAUUAAUUAUUAAUUAUACAAUAUGGACAGGCAAUCAUGAUACAUGAAAGGAAAUCUAUAUCGAGUAGGACAUGUUCAACUAUAAAAAUCCAAACUAUAUCUACCAUUUAGUUUAUUUAUAUUUUUUUUCUAUAUUGGAGCUAAGCCAAUAUGGAAAUCAAUUAAUGAAAGAAGAAUGUAUUGUCUCCAUGCUAAGAAAAACUGAUACCUGUAAUAAUGAGUUUUUAAUUUUAUAGUCGAUAUGUGACACACCAACGAAAUGAAUGUGUUACGUUUCUAAUGAUAUAAAAUACUUCAUCAUAAUAUUUCUGAUACCAUGUUAUCAUGUCAUAAUACUCUAAGUUCAAAUAAUGUUAAUAACAAACGUUUAAUUAUAUCAAACAGAAGUCUGAUUGAUUAUAGUUAUUUUGUGUGACAUCUCUGAAGACGAGUGUCAUAAAGUACUGUAUUAUUAAAUUAGAUUUAAUAUGCUCCUUAGAAAAUCUGCUUUCCUGCGAAACUACAAAAACAAAAUUGAUGAUAUAAUAAAUAUCACAAUAACACAAUGCAUUUAUAUUCAUUUAUGAAACCCAACAUUGGUUUUAAUCAUUCGAACUGAUUAUAGUUGCCAUCUGAAAUGGAAGCAGAAAACUUUAUGGGAUGGAAUCUUACCACAAUGAUACUAUCUUAAAUGUAAAUGACUCUUGUAUGUUAUUGAAUUAAACAUUAUCAACACCACUUAAGGCACAUCAGUGCUACCUGGCGACUUUGACAAUACAGUAAUUAAGCAAUGGCCAAUCUUAUAGUCAGGUAGUGACAUAUAAACAAAGGGAAUACUUCCAUACCUUGUGAUCGCGUGUGUAUGGUAUGAUAAUAUACUGUCUCGCCAUGUUGGUGCUGUACACAGCAUCUCCGGAAACACACAGCAGACGUAGCUAGUUCGUCCUGGAGAAUUUUACAGAAAAUCAUUUAUCUCUGUAUGAAUUGUAUUAUACAAAUAUAGAUGAAGUUUCAUUAGCACAUAAUUAGCGAAUGCAAUAUUUGGAAAUAUCAAAAUAUUGUUUGUCUUACGCUUAAAAAGUGACGAUAAAUAGAUACAUUGCAUUAACAACCAUAUGGAUCAAUACUGCCUAGAACAAGUUUGUCUAAAUAGCGCACUAGUCAUGCAUAUUAAGCAUGUCUACAACGUUUUUCUGCAUUACAAAAAAAAAAGACAUAAAAAGAUGAUUUAUUACAUUGGUUUUUUUUUCUCUUCUCACAUUAUAUCAUCAACAACAACAUUUCAGUCAUAUUUAAGGGAGGGUCAUGUAUAAUUUAUUUAUAAGAAGAAAAUGUAUUUCGCAUUCUUUUAUUCGUGCCAAGAUUUACAAUCGUAUUUCGCUUUUUUACCCGUUGUCACUUGUGUUCCAUUGGCAAGAUAUUCUAUAUUACUUUUGAUGAACAGCCGACAUUUUUUAAUCAGAUGACAGUCGACGUUGAAAUUAUUGAACCAGCGGAAAGUUUGCGUUACCUGUUGAUAUUAUUGAACCAGAGGACAGUCGACGUUACCUGUUGAUAUUAUUGAACCAGAGGACAGUCGACGUUACCUGUUGAUAUUAUUGAACAAGAUGACAGUCUACGUUACCUUUUGAACUUAUUAUUGAACCAGAGGACAGCCGACGUUACCUGUUGAUAUUAUUGAACCAGAGAACAGUUUACGUUACCUGUUGAUAUAAUUGAACCAGAGGACAGUCUACGUUACCUGUUGAUUUUAUUGAACCAGAGGGCAGUCUACGUUACCUGUUGAUAUUAUUGAACUGGAGGACAGCCGACGUUACCUGUUGAUAUUAUUGAACCAGAGUAUAGUCUACGUUACCUGUUGAUAUUAUUAAACAUGAUGACAGUCGACGUUACCUGUUGAUAUUAUUGAACAAGAUGACAUUCUACGUUACCUGUUGAUAUUAUUGAACAAGAUGACAGUCGACGUUACCUGUUGAUAUUAUUAAACAUGAUGACAGUCGACGUUACCUGUUGAUAUUAUUGAACAAGAUUACAGUCUACGUUACCUGUUGAUAUUAUUGAACAAAAUGACAGUCUACGCUACCUGUUGGUAUUAUUAAACAAGAUGACAGUCGACGUUACCCGUUGAUAUCAUUGAACAAGAUGGCAGUCUACGUUACCUGUUGAUAUUAUUAAACAAGAUGACAGUCUACGUUACCUGUUGAUAUUAUUAAACCAGACGACAGUCUACGUUAUAUGUUUAUAUCAUUGAACCAGAGGGCAGCCGGCGUAACUUAAUCAUGCAAAUCUAAAAUAUAUUUUUAACAGUUGAAUUUCCCCCAACCAAUCUGUUGUUUUCCGCUACCAAAUAAAAUAGUCUGUUGUUAUCCGCCGCAAAAUCAAAUAAAAUGAUCUGUUAAUAUCCGUGUACGUUGCCUGUUCUAUAAAUAGUACACUAUUUGUCACCAGUUGCUUGAUAAGUCGUCGGUCCGGUAAGUAACAUCGAAUUCAGCAACUUCGAUGUGUCACGGCGUUGCGCACCUGGCACACAAUCGCAAGGUAUACGAUUUCAACCGAUUGUAUUUUAUGACUUUUAGAGGGAGGGUAAGAUGUUAGUAGAAAGUUCUACUGUUUCUUUUCAUAUCCAAAUAGAUUUGAGCAUGUCCAUUCAUAUGUCAUUAAUUCAACAAGGCCAGACACAACUAGAAUUACAAGUCUCUUCUGUGUAACCUAUCGUGGUCUAAAGUGUCUAAAAGUAAACACGAUAAACUAUUUAUUUGUGUACUCGAACACACUGAUAUGCUCAAAUUCUAAAAUGAAUUAAUGUAAACAAUAGCAUGAUCUGAGAGAUAGUAUGGUAUCAUAUCCAGUGAUAUGUUAUGAUACGUACCUAUAUUUUUUUAUCGUAAUUGUAUGUUAUUGUGGUAUUUAGUUACAUGUAAUGAACCAGUUAUUACUUUUAAUUUUCCGACCAUACUUGUGUCCUUUUUCACCCUUUAUAUCAUAUCAAAUUCCAUCAUCAUAUUCCCCAUUCCCCCUAUGUCUCCAUUAUUACGCCAAUCUCCCAUGCUUAGUGACCCAUUCUACCUUCCUCCUAUUCCCCAUCUCCUUUCGAAAUGCCCCAUUCAUCCAUGCCACUCUCUUCUAACUUUAUAACUAGGGCGGUUUUCCAGUGUAAUAUAUUGCCUAUGAAUGAAUGUUUUGUCCCGGUUGAAUGAUUUUUUUUAUUAACUGAUGCUCCUACAGCUGCCUGUGUCGACUGGAUGCACAUAGGAAUGCUGAAACAACAAACUGACAAAAUAUUUAAAGCUGUGUGUUAUUAAAUCAGUUAUAUCAGCAUAUUAGUCUGUAUUAAGCUAAACGCUUCGUGGCCUCCUUGAUGUUUGUCUUCAUAGUCCUAUGGGGCUAUUUAAUUGUAUUCUAGGAUGUAUGGUAAAUAUGUAUCCUUACAAUGAAAUGUUUCUGAAAUACAAUGCAUAUUAUACAUUAGAUUACUUCGCGUUGUCGCCUGAACCCAUUAGCUAUCGUCAUGCUCAUAUUCUAAUAUCUUAAAUGCAAAUUUAUUCUCAAAGUCACAACUCUCAUUUACUGGUAUGCAUUCCUGUGUUGUGAAUCACUAUACUAUUUACAUGUGUAGUGUGUGCAUUAUAAUCCAAAGGGAAAACGUCGUUUUUGAGAAAAGUUAAUGCCUUGGUUUAAGUGCUAUUUAGUGAAUAAUAUGUGCACUAUUUCAGCAGUUAUAAUGCAUAUAUAACAAUAUAUUUAAUAUAUUAUAUAUAUUUUCUGUACUGCUAAUAAACGCCAUCAAAACACUA